ACAUAUUCAAAACCCCAAUUUGAUCAUCAACUAUAACAACUCAAGAACUGAUCAAUACCCGGUACCAACAAUCACAACCUAAACCCUGAAAAAUCCCAAAAUGAGAACUUUCUACGUCUAAAGCAGCUAAGCACCAUACAUACAAGUCCAAUAAAGUAACUUUAAGUAUAAAAGAUCAAAACAUUCUGCCACCUAAACUGCUACGAAAUCAAUAAUCUCAAUCCUAAACUACAAACCUCGAUUAUUAGCCACAAAAAAAAAAAAAAA
rnacentral:misc_RNA from 1 species